rnacentral:rRNA from 1 species
ACUCCUACGGGAGGCAGCAGUGGGAAUCUUAGACAAUGGGGGAAACCCUGAUCUAGCCAUGCCGCGUGAGCGAUGAAGGCCUUAGGGUUGUAAAGCUCUUUCAGCGGGGAAGAUAAUGACGGUACCCGCAGAAGAAGCCCCGGCUAACUCCGUGCCAGCAGCCGCGGUAAUACGGAGGGGCUAGCGUUGUUCGGAAUUACUGGGCGUAAAGCGUGCGCAGGCGGUCUGUUAAGCGAGAUGUGAAAGCCCCGGGCUCAACCUGGGAACUGCAUUUCGAACUGGCAGACUAGAGUCUUGUAGAGGGGGUAGAAUUCCAGGUGUAGCGGUGAAAUGCGUAGAGAUCU